AGAGCUGCUGCCCAAGGGGACACGAGAGGAGCAGAGAGAUUAUAUCUUCUAUAUGGCCCUAGGCAACUAUAGGCUGAAGGAGUAUGAACGAGCUCUGGAACAUGUCGAGAGGCUCUUGGGGGCUGAGCCCCAGAACACACAAGGACUGAGGCUGAGACAGAGGAUCCAGGAGAGCAUGAGGAGGGACGGGCUCCUGGGCGCCGCCAUUGUUGGGGGCGUGGCCUUGGGCGUGGCCGGCCUGGCCGGGCUGCUGGGAUUGGCCAUCUCCCGCGCGCGGCACUGACGUCAGCACCACGUGACCCCUCCCCCCCGCG